rnacentral:misc_RNA from 1 species
AAGUCGUAACAAGGUUUCCGUAGGUGAACCUGCGGAAGGAUCAUUAAUGAAUAACUUGAUGUGGUUGUAGCUGGCUCUUAGGAGCAUGUGCACGCCCGUCAUCUUAUCUUUCCACCUGUGCACACUAUGUAGAUCUGGAUAACUCUCGCUCUUCGGGGCGGAAACGAGGAUUGCUGCGUCGCAAGGCCAGCUCUCUUUGAAUUUCCAGGUCUAUGUUUAUUACAAACUCCAAUUGAAUGAUGAAGAAUGUAGUCAAUGGGCUUUGUGCCUAUAAAACACUAUACAACUUUCAGCAACGGAUCUCUUGGCUCUC